rnacentral:lncRNA from 1 species
AUAAAAGCGUUGCAGCUGCCUUGGAAACUGGGCUAUUUGAAUCCUGUUACCUCUGGGGCGACGGGACUGAAAGGCAGAAUCCGUAGCUGAAGACGACAUGUAACAGCCGCUGGCCAUCAGCGGAUUGCAGAAAAUCAGCAAUUGCGAAGCUGGGGAAGAAGCAUUUGCAUGGCAUUGGGAUUCACCUGGGAGACGCCGCUUGGUAGGAUUUGCCUGGCCAGGGAA